GAGUUUGAUCAUGGCUCAGGAGGAACGCUGGCGGCGUGCCUAACACAUGCAAGUCGAGCGAGAAAUAGUCAGACGGAGAUUUCGGUUGAAGGAUGGUUAUGGAAAGCGGCGGACGGGUGAGUAACGCGUAGGCAACCUGCCUCAUGCAGAGGGAUAGCCUCGGGAAACCGGGAUUAAAACCUCAUAAGGCCAAGGGGACACAUGUUUUCGUGGUCAAAGAUUUAUCGGCAUGAGAUGGGCCUGCGUCUGAUUAGCUGGUUGGUGAGGUAACGGCUCACCAAGGCGACGAUCAGUAGCCGACCUGAGAGGGUAAACGGCCACAUUGGAACUGAGACACGGUCCAAACUCCUACGGGAGGCAGCAGUGGGGAAUAUUGCACAAUGGGCGAAAGCCUGAUGCAGCAACGCCGCGUGAGCGAAGAAGGCCUUUGGGUCGUAAAGCUCUGUCGAUAUGGGAAGAAAAAGGUGAC
rnacentral:rRNA from 1 species